CAUGGCAGCAUGUCACACACACAUCCUGUGAAGGACAGUCUGCGAUGGCCUCUGAUGGUGUCCAGAGUGAGCUUUGGCAGUCUCUAAGGUCCUGAUUCAGUAGGUUCGGGAGGAUCCUGGUUCUGCUCGUCCAAGCUGCCAGGGGUUCUUUGGCUGGCAAGAGAAACUAGAGAAGUUUUGCUUCCAGGAGGGGAGAGGUGGGCAGACUAUACCCAUGGGGCCCAAACCGGCCUGCAUCUGCACCGUCCCUAGAAAUACGCAGCAGCACUUUUCCUCCCC